GUUAACCCUGUCAUUUUGUUGCCCGCCUUACUUUGCUACCUGACAACUUUACGGUUUUUACUUUUUAAUUACUGUAUAUAUUUUUAGUUUUUCCCUCACUCAACUUUUUUUUCAUUCAACUUUUUCACUCCGGACGCUUUAUCUGCACAUGGUUCGUCGGGACUUCCAACAGCAGAAGCUAAGUAGUAACAUUAACUAAUUUAAUUAACUCUAAUUGCAGUCGCUGUACUAAUAAUAUACAGGAGAACGAUCGCCUUACGGCGAGGAUAGGUGUGCUGUAAGCCAGCUUCAGAUGCAAUCGUUAGGCAAGGGUAAUUUCAGUGUAGGAAAGGAUGAAACAGCGUCUGUGCCACCAGUAAGUACAGAUAGUAACGUUAGUAUAAAUCUCCUCGCUCGGUCACGGAGGUAAAGACAGUUUCAAGUUCGAUAUUUAACGGAUAUUCGCGCUUUCAAACCACUUGAGCCACAGACUACAAAUAUUUGUCAUGAUGUUGGAAAAAUUGAGCACAACAUUGCACAGGUCUUAUUUUCACGAUUUAGACUUUAAUUUGCUUUCCAAAGCUAUUGUGUAAAUGUGAGCAGCGUCUUGUAUUCCUAGUUGAAUUAGAUAGGGAGCGUGAAAAGUACACACUUUUUUUUGUACAUUCAAAUUUCAAUACCUCCUUGGUCAUGUGACCAAGUUACUAUUUCUAACUGGGAAAAUAAAUUCCUUGAUUUAGGUAAAUCUUUGUGAAGAGGUAUGAGGGUUGUGAUAUGGGUCAUUUAAUAGUAAAAAAAUUUAAGGCAUCAAUACAUUUCUAUAUUGCUUCCCCAGUAUCUGCAUGAACCAUCAGGCCAAGUGUUUUUGGUUGACCCUGCUGGACAGAAAGAGAAGGAGGAAUCGGAACAUGCUGCAUUCAAAAUCAGAGAAUACUUCAAAAUGAGAAGAUCCUGCCAUGGAAAAGACAACUGGGUGGACAUAAAGUGUAAAGGAGGGAAAAUAACUCCCACCAUGCAGCAGGACACCUUCAGCUGUGGGGUCUUUAUAAUGCAGAUGGCCAAGGAAGUUGCACAUAACUUCCCCUACAUCUCCUCCCAAAUUGAUAUAGAAUCUUCAAAAACACAUGGAGCAACUUGGAAAAGAAAUGGCUGAGGAUAUACUAAAAAUGUCUGAGUUCAACAAAGCCAACAACUGUUUCAUGUGUGCCACUGAUAAAGAACCUGGAUGUGGCCCAAAGACUGACUGGGAAUGAAGACAAAAGAGUUCAACAGAGUAAAGAACACAAACUAGAAGUGCAGUCUUUGUUGUUGUAAAUGUAUGCUAUACCCCAUCCACACUGAAGAGGCUCUGACAUGUACAUCAACCAGGGAUAAUGUCUGCUAUACCCCAUCCACACUGAAGAGGCUCUGAAAUGUACAUCAACCAGGGAUAAUGUCUGCUAUACCCCAUCCACACUGAAGAGGCUCUGAAAUGUACAUCAACCAGGGAUAAUGUAUGCUAUACCCCAUCCACACUGAAGAGGCUCUGACAUGUACAUCAACCAGGGAUAAUGUAUACUAUACCCCAUCCACACUGAAGAGGCUCUGACAUGUACAUCAACCAGGGAUAAUGUAUACUAUACCCCAUCCACACUGAAGAGGCUCUGACAUGUACAUCAACCAGGGAUAAUGUAUGCUAUACCCCAUCCACACUGAAGAGGCUCUGAAAUGUACAUCAACCAGGGAUAAUGUAUGCUAUACCCCAUCCACACUGAAGAGGCUCUGACAUGUAUAUCAACCAGGGAUAAUGUAUGCUAUACCCCAUCCACACUGAAGAGGCUCUGACAUGUAUAUCAACCAGGGAUAAAGAGAAAGUUAACAUGGUGAAAUGUUUCAUACUUAUUUGAAGUUAAGUGUCUGUUGACACGUUGGAAAAGAUUAAAGGUCUACAAUUUGUUUAAUUUGUCAAUAUUAUAUUUUUAUUCAUUGAUUUACUGGCCACCAUUACUGUGGUUACAUGUUCAGUAUAUGUAUUGACCAGCAAACCCACUGCAGCCUACCUCACCAGCUCACUCUCCAUCCCUGCUUUGGACAAUUAAUAGCAUGACUCUCGUACUUUGCCCCUUUCCUUUAUGGUUGAUAUUAACGACGAAAGGAGAUAUUAUCUGUCUCUCUCCUGUUAAAUACUGUGGAAAAAUAAAAAACAGGGAAAAUAGGUACUUAGAACUAGCAAUUAUUGUAGAUACAUUUUAAAGAAAUGGGUAAACAACACUGGACUGAACCCCCUAAUUGUCAAACUAAUAAUAAUGUACAACAAUAUAGAAGAUACUUGACUAGAGGUUAUGCAAUAUGGGUGUAUAUUCACUGUAUGCUUCUUCGGUGUGUAAUUGACAUGACAAAGGAGCUAUUGCAAAUUUGAAACUUUGAAAAAUGUAUGUGACACUGCAUGAUUUUACAGUACACAAACAAGAGUGUGCAAUAUAGAAGGGUAGUCAGCGGUCACAUGACCAAGGAGCUAUUGAAAUUCUACAUUUUGAAAAAUUCAUGUAAAACCAUGUGAGAUAAAAAAAAAAAAUGGACAAACUAAAGGGUGUGUAUUGUGUGUCUAUGCCAUUGGAUUAGCUACAACCAGUUUUGAAAGUGUUUGGAGUAAUGGUUAAAGAGCUAUUGAAAUUUGAAAAAUGUGAUUUGUCACUAUGUUGACUGUCCCUAACUGCUGUUGGUGGACGUAAGGAAAACUACAGGCGAAUAUCCGUCGAAUAUCCAACCUGAAACUGUCUUUACCUCGGGUUCCCAAAAGAUAGAAUUUGUAGAUAAUUGGCCCUCUUUCUGGAACUCACCCACAAACAGGACCAAGCCUGGCCUGUUGAGGAGUGACAGACUCCAUCCUAGCUGGAGGAGUGCUCUCAUCUUAUAUACCAACAUAGACGGGGCUCUAACUCCUCUAGCUCCACAAUUAAAUAGGGUGCAGGCCAGGCAGCAAGCUGUUAGCCAGCCAGCCUGCCAGCAUAGUAGAGUCUGCCACUAGCACAGUCAGUGUAGUCAUCUCAGCUAUCCCCAUUGAGACCGUGUCUGUGCCUCGACCUAGGUUGGGCAAAACUAAACAUGGCGUUGUUCGCCUUAGCAAUCUCACUAGAAUAAAGACCUCCUCCAUUCCUUCCAUUAUUGAAAGAGAUUGUGAUACCUCACAUCAAAGGCAGUUAUAGUCAAUGAACUAAUCACUGUUCAUAAUCUUGAUGUGAUUGGCCUGACUGAAACAUGGCUUAAGCCUGAUGAAUUUACUGUGUUAAAUGAGGCCUCACCUCCUGGUUACACUAGUGACCAUAUCCCCUGUGUAUGCCGCAAAGGCAGAAGUGUUGCUAACAUUUACGAUAGCAAAUUUCAAUUUCAGUAU
ensembl:lncRNA